GAUGAAGAACGUAGUGAAAUGCGAUAAGUAGUGUGAAUUGCAGAAUUCAGUGAAUCAUCGAAUCUUUGAACGCACAUUGCGCCCCUUGGUAUCCCGAGGGGCAUGCCUGUUCGAGCGUCAUUUCACCACUCAAGCCUGGCUUGGUGUUGGGCGACGUCCUCUUUGGGGACGCGCCUCGAAACGCUCGGCGGCGUGGCACCGGCUUUAAGCGUAGCAGAAUCUUUCGCUUUGGAAGUCGGGGCCCCGUCUGCCGGAAGACCUGCUCGCAAGGUUGACCUCGGAUCAGGCAGGGAUACCCGAUGAACUUAAGCAUAUCAAUAAGCGGAGGA
rnacentral:misc_RNA from 1 species